CACCUCCUCCCGAACCCGUUGGUCCUUAAUUCUGCUACUUCGGUGGGGCGCUCCUUAAAGGGCUGAGCGCUUGUCUUCCAGGGCGCGCUUUCCUGCCUUUCCCGGUGCAAAGUCGGCCAAAGCGCGCCUUCCGUCCCCGGAGCCACCCCACAGGAGGAGACAGAACUUACAAUCUAAUUUUUCAUGAGGACCUGGUGUUGUGAAAGUUGACUAUGGUCUCAAGUAGAUCCUGAUGCUGGGACCAUAGUGGCAAUGAUGAGUCAGUCUGUCCUGAAGUUGCGCUGGGGACAUUUUCUGACAUCAAUCUUUGCCUACCUAUCUCCCAACCUCCAGCAAUUUUGCCAACAAUUUCCUUCAAGGUAAUGUUUUCAACGGAUUAUUAAAAUCAUGUUUUCUCCUAAAAUCUCUGAUUCCCAUUAUGUUGCAGCUCCUAGCCCUCUGUGUCCACCAGCAUGUCAACCCAAGGUCAUCCAAGUCCUUGCUUGAGCCUCAA